CCGGGCGAGGGAGCUGCUGCCUCUGAAGGCCUCAAGACCAGGACAGUUCCUGGGACACAUGUCGAGGGUCCCCGAGGGCCUCCACUUGCUGCUGGGGGCCCUGCCCGGGCCAGCCUCUACCCCAGCCAGCGGCGAGCGACAUCAGCUCUGACACCUGAGCCUGCCACAAGGGAGAACCCCCAACCGGGACAGCGUGAACGAGAGCCCAGGAGCGAGACGCGGCCCCGCAGGCCCGGGAAUGAUGUUUCCUUUUGGGAUCACACCUGGGGAUCUCUCCUGGUGGUGCCCGGGGGACCCUACGGCGUACUGGGGAUCGAACCCAGGUCAGCUGCAUGCGAGGUGAUGAUGCUCAGAGGGUGCAGUGGGUGCUCCACACCGGUGCCACCCCCCGCCGCCCACCUCUCCCGACCAUGACACCCAUGGGGGCUUUUUCCGCUCCUUUCCCUGACAGUGCGGUUGGUUGGGCCACGCUGAGGGACACCACGGCCCACGCGUACCCUUCCCAGAACGAGAGGUCACAUGUCCCCUCUGACACAGGACCACGCUCCCCAAAACCGUGAAUCAAAGCAGAAGCUUCUAGAACAGACAGCAAGAAGCCACACGACCUCAGACUCAGCUUUGAGGGUCCAGCGUGCUCAGGGGCGACACCAUUUAAUCCGUCCAGCAACCCUGGCAAGAGUCACUCACCAACCCCUUCGUCCCUCCUCGAGAAAACUGCCUCACACCUGCCAAGGAUCAGGCUGAGGGGCCGGAGCCGGUCUGGACUGCCCCACCCCCAGCACUCAGAAUAGACGCCGGAGCAAGGGCAGUUCCAUCGAGGGAUGAAACAGCCUCCAAGCAACAGCUCUGACGCUCCAAGAAACAGGCCCAGAUGCUGUGUCCACCUGCUCUCACCCACCCCCAAGGGCCUGCACUGCCCACUCAGCUGCCUCCACCCGGCUCCUUCCAAGAAAUCCUGAUUCCUCCUUAUGACAAGAAGAUGAGAGGUCAGAGAGAGAGAGAGAGAGAGAGAGUAGAGGAAGGGCGAAUGUCUUGCUGCUGCCACGCCGGGUUCAAUCCCUGCACUCCAUAGGGUCCCCCGAGCCUUGCCAAGAAUGGUCCCUGAGCACAGAGUCAGGAGCAGGCGCUGAGCAUCCCCAGGAGUGGUCCCAAAAUCUCGAGAAAGAGAGAGAGAGAGAGAGAGAGAGAGAGAGAAAGGAAAAACCCAGGGCCGUUCAGUGGGCUGCAGGCUUCACAUGCAGGAGGCCCAGAUAGACCCCAGCACCCCAAGGCCCCCUGACACCUCCAGGUGUGGCCCCAAGCGGCCACAGGCAGUGACAGUAACUGCAGCCCCCAGGGCUGAGCUCGGCUCUGCGGCAGUCACGGAGCUGCCCCCAGCCCCACUCCCGAGAAAGCCGCCAGGGUCCACGUGGGGGCUCUGCAACCCCCCACCCCACGGUCACACAGAACACUCCUCGGGAGCGGCUCCCCAGACAGCGCCUCCCAGACCCACAUCAUUCUCGCCCGGCACAAGGACCCGGAAGGCCAGUGCUCAGUGGAACCAUGACUCGGAACCAGGCAGACGGUAUUUCCUGAGAGAGCGGUGAUACGCAGCCAGCAGCCCAGUCCCUAAGGGACAGUCCCUUUUAAGGGAGUGCCCGGAGAGCCCAACGGGGUGACUGGACGGACAGAAAAAGGUGCAUUCCACUGCCGUGUAAAAAUAACUUUCAAUAAAAAUCCGA